rnacentral:rRNA from 1 species
CUACGUGCCAGCAGCCGCGGUAAUACGGGGGGUGCGAGCGUUAAUCGGAAUAACUGGGCGUAAAGGGCACGCAGGCGGUGACUUAAGUGAGAUGUGAAAGCCCCGAGCUUAACUUGGGAAUUGCAUUUCAUACUGGGUCGCUAGAGUACUUUAGGGAGGGGUAGAAUUCCACGUGUAGCGGUGAAAUGCGUAGAGAUGUGGAGGAAUACCGAAGGCGAAGGCAGCCCCUUGGGAAUGUACUGACGCUCAUGUGCGAAAGCGUGGGGAGCAAACAGGAUUAGAUACCCUGGUAGUCCACGCUGUAAACGAUGUCGAUUUGGGGGUUGGGCUUUAAGCUUGGCGCCCGUAGCUAACGUGAUAAAUCGACCGCCUGGGGAGUACGGCCGCAAGGUUAAAACUCAAAUGAAUUGACGGGGGCCCGCACAAGCGGUGGAGCAUGUGGUUUAAUUCGAUGCAACGCGAAGAACCUUACCUACUCUUGACAUCCAGA